GAUCGGGAGGCUUCCUUUGGGACGGAGGCCGGGAAUUGAUCGAACUGUUUGGUCGUCUCGGAUGGGGGCGAUGCCGGGGCCCGACGGCAGGCG
rnacentral:ncRNA from 1 species